rnacentral:rRNA from 1 species
GACGAACGCUGGCGGCGUGCUUAACACAUGCGAGUCGAACGGAAAGGCCCCCACUUUUUUGGUGGGGGUGCUCGAGUGGCGAACGGGGGAGUAACACGUGGGUGAUCUGCCCUGUACUUCGGGAUAAGCUUGGGAAACUGGGUCUAAUACCGGAUAGGACCAUGGUUUAGUGUCUCAUGGUGGAAAAAUUAUUGUUUUGGUGCAGGAUGAGCUCGCGGCCUAUCAGCUUGUUGGUGGGGUAAUGGCCUACCAAGGCGUCGACGGGUAGCCGGCCUGAGAGGGUGGACGGACACAUUGGGACUGAGGUACGGCCCAGACUCCUACGGGAGGCAGCGGUGGGGAAUAGUGCAGAAUGGGCGCAAGCCUGAGGCAGCGACGCCGCGUGGGGGAGGACGGCCGUCGGGUUGUAAACUCCUUUCGUUAGGGACGAAGCCGCACCUUUUUUGGGUGUGGUGACGGUACCUUUGUUAAGAAGCACCGGCUAACUACGUG